rnacentral:lncRNA from 10 species
AUCGCGGGUUAACAGCCCAGGAUGUUGACUUGAGCUGGCUUGGUCGGCUACAGGUGAGACGGUUUAAAGUCUCACAAUCACCUUAGAGGUUAAUCAGAAUAACUGGGAUCAGCCACGGACACCUGGUGAGCGAUUAGCCCGCAGAGUGACUACAAUCCUGAAAGAUACUUGAGAAACUGUUUAACAGGCAACUCUAAUUUGAGGUUACCGCUGGAUAUUUGAGACUGUAAAAAAUAUAUUAACCUUAAAAUACCAGAGAUUAGGUCAAUAACUAAAAUCAUCUCAACAAAAUGUCGCCUUUUAUCAGUAAUGACUGCUGUGUGGCUGUUACCAAUGCACAUACUUUCAAGUUAGAGGAAAUGGAAACUGAAAUCAAAAGAAAACAAAAACCUACAAAGCCGGAGAAGUAAGCUAAGGUAGACAUGAUUCUCCAGGCAGCCUUGCUAAGUAAUUGACUAGACAUUCGAGAACUAUUAAAAAUACCUGCUCUGUGCAGAACAGUGUGCAACGGUGAUGUGGGGACAUUUUAAAAUAUGGAUGUGUAAGGCUCAGUUCCUGUAGGUUCAGGGGUGAGCUCUGGCAUUCAUAU